rnacentral:rRNA from 1 species
AGUGAACGCUGGCGGUAGGCCUAACACACGCAAGUCGAACGGCAGCACAGUAAGAGCUUGCUCUUACGGGUGGCGAGUGGCGGACGGGUGAGGAAUACAUCGGAAUCUACUUUUUCGUGGGGGAUAACGUAGGGAAACUUACGCUAAUACCGCAUACGACCUACGGGUGAAAGCAGGGGAUCUUCGGACCUUGCGCGAUUGAAUGAGCCGAUGUCGGAUUAGCUAGUUGGCGGGGUAAAGGCCCACCAAGGCGACGAUCCGUAGCUGGUCUGAGAGGAUGAUCAGCCACACUGGAACUGAGACACGGUCCAGACUCCUACGGGAGGCAGCAGUGGGGAAUAUUGGACAAUGGGCGCAAGCCUGAUCCAGCCAUACCGCGUGGGUGAAGAAGGCCUUCGGGUUGUAAAGCCCUUUUGUUGGGAAAGAAAAGCAGCAGGUUAAUACCCCGCUGUUCUGACGGUACCCAAAGAAUACGCACCGGCUAACUUCGUG